GGCCGGCAUAGUGUACAGGAACAUCUGUGCCGAGUAUAACCUGGAAGUCCCGGGGUCAAAAUGGGAGAUGCCCCCAAGGGUGGUGGAGAAUGACCGAGCUAAGAUCCUGUGGGACUUCCAGAUACAGACGGACAAAAUGGUGGUGGCUAACCAACCGGACAUAGUGGUGGUAGACAAACAGAAGAAGACGGCCGUAGUGAUCGAUGUAGCGGUUCCGAAUGACAGCAAUAUCAGGAAGAAGGAACACGAGAAGCUGGAGAAAUACCAAGGGCUCAGAGAAGAGCUCGAGAGGAUGUGGAGGGUGAAGGUAACGGUGGUCCCCAUGGUAAUCGGAGCACUAGGUGCGGUGACUCCCAAGCUAGGCGAGUGGCUCCAGCAGAUCCCGGGAAUAACAUCGGAGAUCUCUGUCCAGAAGAGCGCAGUCCUGGGAACAGCUAAGAUACUGCGCAGGACCCUCAAGCUCCCAGGCCUCUGGUAGAGGACCCGAGCUUGAAGGAUAAACCGCCCACAGGGGUGUGCUGGGUGGUUUUUUUUUUUUUUAUAUAUGUAACGCCAAAUCACAACAAAAGUCGCCUCAAGGCGCUUCAUAGAUACAGAGAAAAACCCAACAAUCAUAUGACCCCCUAUGAGCAAGCACUUUGGCAACAGUGGGAAGGAAAAACUCCCUUUUAACAGGAAGAAACCUCCGGCAGAACCAGGCUCAGGGAGGGGCGGCCAUCUGCUGCGACCGGUUGGGGUGAGAGAAGGAAGACAGGAUAAAAGACAUGCUGUGGAAGAGAGACAGAGAUUAAUAGCAGAUAUGAUUCAAUGCAGAGAGGUCUGUUAAUACAUAGUGAGCGAGAAAGGUGACUGGAAAGGAAAAACUCAAUGCAUCAUGGGCAUAGCUGGACUGGCCAUCGGGCAUACCGGGCAUUCGCCCGGUGGGCCGCUGGCGAUUUUUUGUUUUUAUGGGCCGAUGGAUUUUUUUUUCUUUUUUUAGUAAGGGUAUAUAUAAUGAAAGGUGUUGGAUUGGCCAAUUGGUCAUGAUCGACUCUGGGCUGGACCAAUUACAGCUGAGGAGGCCGGAUGCACCCUCCCCCUUGUUUAGCAAUCACGUGAUUUUCGCGCAUUGCAUGCCGGGAACUCGUGGCAAAACAAUCCAAGUACCGCAUCAAAUGCAAGCAUUUGCAGCACCGCAAAACGUUCAUUCUCCGGUUCCAAUACCUUCUUGUUUUUUCUUUGCCGCACAAAAAAGGAAUGUACAAAACAAAAGGAGAAUAAUGCCAGUCCGUACAAAGACAGACUCGACGAAAAGACAAAGAAAAGAUAUGAGG
ensembl:lncRNA